rnacentral:tRNA from 2 species
GCGGGAGUAGCUCAAUUGGUAGAGCGCUAGCCUUCCAAGCUGGAUGUUGCGGGUUCGAGACCCGUCUCCCGCUCCA